AUGUUGCUCCGCCAUCGAAGAUCCAUCUGCAUGGCGAGUUUACCAGAGGUGUCGGGAACCAGGAGGGAGUUAGGGAAGGGGGAAGUAGUCCAGACGGGAGUAGAGGGAGUAGGAUUUACAAAUGGUCUACCUGGGGGAUCGCAGGACGUGAGGAGGGAGACGGAUCACAGGAGGGCUGCUGGUGCAACGGGAGAGGCUGAGGAGAAUCUCGGGGAGGAGGAAGUAUGGGAGUCGUAUGGCCCGGAGGCGGAUCUGGAAGACCAGUUUGUGGGGUUACAGCUUCAUGGGAAAGAAGGAGAUGAUUUGGACCUGUCAGGAGAGGUCGAGGAGCUGAUCAAAGGAGUCCGCUGGCUGGGGCUCUUUAGGGUUUUCACAACCAAGUCGUUCAGCCACGCUGCGCUUCUGAAGCAGAUGAGGAACGCGUGGUCGUCAGCACAGGGAGUAACUUUCAACAUUAAGGGUCCAAACCUUUUCUUGGUGCAGUGUCACUGCCUCGGCGAUUGGAAGAGAAUCAUGGAAGGAGGCCCGUGGCUUUUUCGCAACGCUGCGCCAAUUAUCAUACAGGAGUACGAUGGUUUCACCGAUGUGAAUGAGUACAAGUUAAACAAGAUCCCGUUAUGGGCAAGGGUGCAGGGCUUGCCGGAUGGGCUUACGGCGAAGAAGGAACUUGCAGAGAAGGUGGCAGCUAAGGUGGGGGAACCACCGUUUACUGUGGUUGUGAACGAGGGAAAGAUCGAUCCGGCAAGCACUUUAAGGGUCAGAGUUUAUGUGGAUAUCAAUAAGCCUUUGGUGCGUUUUGUGCCAAUCACAAUCAAGAAGAGCAAGAGGUACCCUGUGUUUUAUGACAAGCUACCCGUGUUCUGUUAUUUUUGUGGUCUGAUUGGGCAUACGGUGGAGGAGUGUGGCAAUGGUAUCCAUGAUCUUGAGUCAUGUGAAUGGGGGGAUUGGUUGGUGUGGAGCAAUGAAGUAGCGAGGGUUGGUAUGGGAGGUAGAGCAGGUAGGGGGGGAGGAGGUUUAGGAGGCAGUUCAGGAGGAAGAGGAGCCAGUGGGCGUCGUCAAGGGAGAGGAGGAGGUGCGGUUGCAGGGAGGGGAGCCCCCGUUGAUGCCUUUUAUGCAGAAGAAGCUGAAUAUAGCCAUAACCCUUCGGAAAACCACAAGUUUGCACGUAAGAGGUUGGUCUCAGCGGAUGGCACCAUUAGCGUCCGUGGGCAGGUUUUACCGAACCUGGCGGGCAAGGUGGCUGAUACAGUGUUGCUGCUGGAGAAUGGGGCUGGAAGCACAAGUGGGGUGGUGGCAUCCACCCCGUAG
rnacentral:rRNA from 1 species